GACGAACGCUGGCGGCAUGCCUAAUACAUGCAAGUCGAGCGAAUGAUGAAGAAGCUUGCUUCUUCUGAUUUAGCGGCGGACGGGUGAGUAACACGUGGGCAACCUGCCCUGUAGAUUGGGAUAACUCCGGGAAACCGGGGCUAAUACCGAAUAAUCCAUUUCCUCUCAUGGGGAGAUGUUAAAAGACGGUUUCGGCUGUCACUACAGGAUGGGCCCGCGGCGCAUUAGCUAGUUGGUGAGGUAACGGCUCACCAAGGCGACGAUGCGUAGCCGACCUGAGAGGGUGAUCGGCCACACUGGGACUGAGACGCGGCCCAA
rnacentral:rRNA from 1 species